GACGAACACUGGCGGCGUGCUUAACACAUGCAAGUCGAACGGAAAGGCCCUGCUUUUGUGGGGUGCUCGAGUGGCGAACGGGUGAGUAACACGUGAGUAACCUGCCCUUGACUUUGGGAUAACUUCAGGAAACUGGGGCUAAUACCGGAUAGGAGCUCCUGCUGCAUGGUGGGGGUUGGAAAGUUUCGGCGGUUGGGGAUGGACUCGCGGCUUAUCAGCUUGUUGGUGGGGUAGUGGCUUACCAAGGUUUUGACGGGUAGCCGGCCUGAGAGGGUGACCGGCGACAUUGGGACUGAGAUACGGCCCAGACUCGUACGGGAGGCAGCAGUGGGGAAUAUUGCACAAUGGGCGGAAGCCUGAUGCAGCAACGCCGCGUGCGGGAUGACGGCCUUCGGGUUGUAAACCGCUUUCGCCUGUGACGAAGCGUGAGUGACGGUAAUGGGUAAAGAAGCACCGGCUAACUACGUG
rnacentral:rRNA from 1 species